GCGGUAAUACGUAGGUGGCAAGCGUUAUCCGGAUUUAUUGGGCGUAAAGCGAGCGCAGGCGGUUUUUUAAGUCUGAUGUGAAAGCCCUCGGCUUAACCGAGGAAGUGCAUCGGAAACUGGGAAACUUGAGUGCAGAAGAGGACAGUGGAACUCCAUGUGUAGCGGUGAAAUGCGUAGAUAUAUGGAAGAACACCAGUGGCGAAGGCGGCUGUCUGGUCUGUAACUGACGCUGAGGCUCGAAAGCAUGGGUAGCGAACAGGAUUAGAUACCCUGGUAGUCCAUGCCGUAAACGAUGAAUGCUAGGUGUUGGAGGGUUUCCGCCCUUCAGUGCCGCAGCUAACGCAUUAAGCAUUCCGCCUGGGGAGUACGACCGCAAGGUUGAAACUCAAAGGAAUUGACGGGGGCCCGCACAAGCGGUGGAGCAUGUGGUUUAAUUCGAAGCAACGCGAAGAACCUUACCAGGUCUUGACAUCUUUUGAUCACCUGAGAGAUCAGGUUUCCCCUUCGGGGGCAAAAUGACAGGUGGUGCAUGGUUGUCGUCAGCUCGUGUCGUGAGAUGUUGGGUUAAGUCCCGCAACGAGCGGCACCCUUAUGACUAGUUGCCAGCAUUUAGUUGGGCACUCUAGUAAGACUGCCGGUGACAAACCGGAGGAAGGUGGGGAUGACGUCAAAUCAUCAUGCCCCUUAUGACCUGGGCUACACACGUGCUACAAUGGAUGGUACAACGAGUUGCGAGACCGCGAGGUCAAGCUAAUCUCUUAAAGCCAUUCUCAGUUCGGACUGUAGGCUGCAACUCGCCUACACGAAGUCGGAAUCGCUAGUAAUCGCGGAUCAGCACGCCGCGGUGAAUACGUUCCCGGGCCUUGUACACACCGCCCGUCACACCAUGAGAGUUUGUAACACCCGAAGCCGGUGGCGUAACCCUUUUAGGGAGCGAGCCGUCUAAGGUGGGACAAAUGAUUAGGGUGAAGUCGUAACAAGGUAAC
rnacentral:rRNA from 2 species